rnacentral:rRNA from 1 species
UCAGGAUGAACGCUAGCUACAGGCCUAACACAUGCAAGUCGAGGGGCAGCAUGGGAGAAGCUUGCUUUCCCGAUGGCGACCGGCGAAUGGGUGAGUCCACGCGUGUCCAACCUGCCCCCCGCCCGGGGAUAGCCCUUGGAAAUGAGGAUUAAGACCCGAUAGGUGGCGUUUCCGCAUGGCGGCGCCAUGAAGCGAGGCGGGGGAUGGGACGCGUCGGAUUAGCUUGACGGCGGGGCAACGGCCCACCGUGGCGACGAUCCGCAGGGGUUCUGAGAGGAAGGUCCCCCACACUGGCACUGGGACACGGGCCAGACUCCUACGGGAGGCAGCAGUGAGGAAUAUUGGUCAAUGGCCGAGAGGCUGAACCAGCCAAGUAGCGUGCAGGAAUGACGGCCCUACGGGUUGUAAACUGCUUUUGCGGGAGGAUAAAGUGCGCUACGUGUAGCGCUUUGCAGGUAUCCCGUGAAUAAGGACCGGCUAAUUCCGUGCCAGCAGCUGC